CCCUUAGAUGUUCUGGGCUGCACGCGCGCUACACUGAUGCGCUCAACGAGUUUAUGACCUUGCCCGGAAGGGUUGGGUAAUCUUCUUAAAACGCAUCGUGAUGGGGAUAGAUUAUUGCAAUUAUUAAUCUUCAACGAGGAAUUCCUAGUAAGCGCGAGUCAUCAGCUCGUGCUGAUUACGUCCCUGCCCUUUGUACACACCGCCCGUCGCUCCUACCGAUUGAGUGGUCCGGUGAGGCUUUGGGAUCUGAGCAAAAAGAGCGUUUCGCUCGUUUGGCUCGGAAAACUCAGUCGAACCUUAUCAUUUAGAGGAAGGAGAAGUCGUAACA
rnacentral:rRNA from 1 species